rnacentral:tRNA from 1 species
AGCUGCUAAGUUUUUAACAACUGCUUUGAAAGCAGUAUUUGGGCGUAACGCCCAGUAGCUAC